rnacentral:rRNA from 1 species
UGGGGAAUUUUGGACAAUGGGCGAAAGCCUGAUCCAGCAAUGCCGCGUGUGUGAAGAAGGCCUUCGGGUUGUAAAGCACUUUUGUCCGGAAAGAAAUCCUUGGCUCUAAUACAGUCGGGGGAUGACGGUACCGGAAGAAUAAGCACCGGCUAACUACGUGCCAGCAGCCGCGGUAAUACGUAGGGUGCAAGCGUUAAUCGGAAUUACUGGGCGUAAAGCGUGCGCAGGCGGUUUGCUAAGACCGAUGUGAAAUCCCCGGGCUCAACCUGGGAACUGCAUUGGUGACUGGCAGGCUAGAGUAUGGCAGAGGGGGGUAGAAUUCCACGUGUAGCAGUGAAAUGCGUAGAGAUGUUGGAGGAAUACCGAUGGCGAAGGCAGCCCCCUGGGCCAAUACUGACGCUCAUGCACGAAAGCGUGGGGAGCAAACAGGAUUAGAUACCCUGGUAAUCCACGCCCUAAACGAUGUCAACUAGUUGUUGGGGAUUCAUUUCCUUAGUAACGUAGCUAACGCGUGAAGUUGACCGCCUGGGGAAGUACGGUCGUCAAGAUUAAAACUCAAAUGAAUUGACGGGGUCAUAGCUGUUUCCU